rnacentral:rRNA from 1 species
GACGGAGGGGGCAAGCGUUGCUCGGAAUCACUGGGCGUAAAGGGCGCGUAGGCGGCCUUCUAAGUCGAACGUGAAAUCCCCGGGCUCAACCCGGGAACUGCGUCCGAUACUGGAAGGCUUGAAUCCGGGAGAGGGAUGCGGAAUUCCAGGUGUAGCGGUGAAAUGCGUAGAUAUCUGGAGGAACACCGGUGGCGAAGGCGGCAUCCUGGACCGGCAUUGACGCUGAGGCGCGAAAGCCAGGGGAGCAAACGGG